GAUGAACGCUGGCGGCGUGCCUAAUACAUGCAAGUCGAGCGAACAGACGAGGAGCUUGCUCCUUUGACGUUAGCGGCGGACGGGUGAGUAACACGUAGGUAACCUCCCUAUAAGACUGGGAUAACUUCGGGAAACCGGAGCUAAUACCGGAUAAUAUUUCGAACCGCAUGGUUCGAUAGUGAAAGAUGGCUUUGCUAUCACUUAUCGAUAGACCUGCGCCGUAUUAGCUAGUUGGUACGGUAACGGCCUACCAAGGCAACGAUACGUAGCCGACCUGAGAGGGUGGUCGGCCACACUGGAGGGGAGACACGGUCCAGACUCCUAAGGGAGGCAGCAGUAUGGAAUGGUCCGCAAUGGGCGAAAGCCUGACGGAGCAACGCCGCGUGAGAGAUGAAGGUCUUGGGAUCGGAAAACUCUGUUAUGAGGGAAGAACAAACGUGGAAGGAGCUGUGCACGGCGUGACGGUACCUAAUCAGAAAGCAACGGCUAACUACGUG
rnacentral:rRNA from 1 species